AUUGAACGCUGGCGGCAGGCCUAACACGUGCAAGUCGAACGGUAGCACAGAGAGCUUGCUCUCGGGUGACGAGUGGCGGACGGGUGAGUAAUGUCUGGGAAACUGCCCGAUGGAGGGGGAUAACUACUGGAAACGGUAGCUAAUACCGCAUAAUGUCGCAAGACCAAAGAGGGGGACCUUCGGGCCUCUUGCCAUCGGAUGUGCCCAGAUGGGAUUAGCUAGUUGGUGAGGUAAUGGCUCACCAAGGCGACGAUCCCUAGCUGGUCUGAGAGGAUGACCAGCCACACUGGAACUGAGACACGGUCCAGACUCCUACGGGAGGCAGCAGUGGGGAAUAUUGCACAAUGGGCGCAAGCCUGAUGCAGCCAUGCCGCGUGUAUGAAGAAGGCCUUCGGGUUGUAAAGUACUUUCAGCGGGGAGGAAGGCAAUGCGGUUAAUAACCGUGUUGAUUGACGUUACCCGCAGAAGAAGCACCGGCUAACUCCGUG
rnacentral:rRNA from 1 species